UUAAAUGGCUGCAGUAAUUUGACUGUACAAAGGUAGCAUAAUCAAUAGUUUUUUAAUUGAAAGCUAGAAUGAAUGGUUGGACGAGAUAAAAUCUGUCUUUAUUUAAUUUAUAAUAAAAUUUAAUUUUUAAGUUAAAAAGCUUAAAUUUUUAUAAAAGACGAGAAGACCCUAUAGAGUUUUAUAUUUAAUUUAAUAUAUUUAAUAUAGAUUUAUUUAUUAUAUAUUUAAUAAAGUAUUUUAUUGGGGUAAUAUAAAGAUUAAAUUAAUUCUUUAAAUUUUUUAUAUUUAUUAAUAUUUUAUAUGAUCCAUUAUUGAUGAUUAAAAGAUUAAAUUACCUUAGGGAUAACAGCGUAAUUUUUUUAGAGAGUUCAUAUUGAUAAAAAAGUUUGCGACCUCGAUGUUGGAUUAAAGAUUAAUUUAGGUGCAAAAGUUUAAAUGUUUGGUCUGUUCGACCAUUAAAUCUUUACAUGAUCUGAGUUCAGACCGGCGUGAGCCAGGUCGGUUUCUAUCUUUAUUUUAUUAAAAUAUUUUAGUACGAAAGGACCAAAUAUUAAUUAAAUUAAUUUAUUUAUUUGAAUAUUAUU
rnacentral:rRNA from 1 species